rnacentral:rRNA from 1 species
AGUGAACGCUGGCGGUAGGCCUAACACAUGCAAGUCGAACGGCAGCACAGUAAGAGCUUGCUCUUACGGGUGGCGAGUGGCGGACGGGUGAGGAAUACAUCGGGAUCUACUUUUUCGUGGGGGAUAACGUAGGGAAACUUACGCUAAUACCGCAUACGACCUACGGGUGAAAGCAGGGGAUCUUCGGACCUUGCGCGAUUGAAUGAGCCGAUGUCGGAUUAGCUAGUUGGCGGGGUAAAGGCCCACCAAGGCGACGAUCCGUAGCUGGUCUGAGAGGAUGAUCAGCCACACUGGAACUGAGACACGGUCCAGACUCCUACGGGAGGCAGCAGUGGGGAAUAUUGGACAAUGGGCGCAAGCCUGAUCCAGCCAUACCGCGUGGGUGAUGAAGGCCUUCGGGUUGUAAAGCCCUUUUGUUGGGAAAGAAAAGCAGCAGGUUAAUACCCCGCUGUUCUGACGGUACCCAAAGAAUAAGCACCGGCUAACUUCGUG